AACAAAUAGGGAUUAACAAAAAAAUGCAAUCUGAGUGGGGCAUAAAAGCUUCAUCGGUUUCAGGAUAAACAUGGAUGAGAAGAAAUCAGUAUUUCAAGAAGAUUGCGAUGUAGGAAGCCACGGAAAGGAAGGUAAGAAGACGAUAUGAGAUCUUGAUAGAGCUUCCGUGUGACGAUGAUCCAUCUCCUUCUCCUAGUGGCACAGUUUUCGAUCCAUUUCCAAAUAUUUGAGAUAAAUAUUUAUUAUUUUUUUUAUUUGUUAUUUAGAUAAUUAUGUUUUAUUGUUUUAUUAUAUAUAGUCGUCUACGC
rnacentral:lncRNA from 1 species